GUCUUUUUAUAGUUCAUAAGUGUGAUGAUUGGGUUUUUAUGCUCUUGUAUGUGAUGCCCCUCUCCUCAAAUCUUGUCAUGAUGUUGGCACAUUACCCAUCUGAUG
rnacentral:snoRNA from 2 species